rnacentral:rRNA from 1 species
GAGUUUGAUCGUGGCUCAGAUUGAACGCUGGCGGCAUGCCUUACACAUGCAAGUCGAACGGUAACAGGUCUUCGGAUGCUGACGAGUGGCGAACGGGUGAGUAAUACAUCGGAACGUGCCCAGACGUGGGGGAUAACGAGGCGAAAGCUUUGCUAAUACCGCAUACGAUCUAAGGAUGAAAGCAGGGGACCGCAAGGCCUUGCGCGUUUGGAGCGGCCGAUGGCAGAUUAGGUAGUUGGUGGGAUAAAAGCUUACCAAGCCGACGAUCUGUAGCUGGUCUGAGAGGACGACCAGCCACACUGGGACUGAGACACGGCCCAGACUCCUACGGGAGGCAGCAGUGGGGAAUUUUGGACAAUGGGCGAAAGCCUGAUCCAGCAAUGCCGCGUGCAGGAUGAAGGCC